rnacentral:lncRNA from 1 species
UUUAAAACACUCAAACGAUGACAUUGAGGUCUGGAGAACUUGCGUAGAAGCAAUCCCACGGUUCCUAGGUCUGAUUGUGUCUUUGGAAAACAGGAAACUGUGCUUCCUGUGACUUUUCUAACUUAGGAAUGAUUCUUCCUGAGAUGGGAUUUUUAAAGAAAAGCUCCUUGGAAAUACGUGAAUCUUUUAAAUGUUUUUGCUGACUGGUAAGACUCAGUUUCUUUUCAGCAUAUGAUUUCAUAUAUCUUCCACUAAGAUUCUUUCCUUGACCAUAGCUGAGCAAAAUGAUCCUUGUAGAGAAUGGACUACCUGCCCACUUACUACUUGGUGGUCUGGUACAGUUAGAAAUGGCAGGAGAACUUGCCUGGAGUGGUGGCAAAAUCUUUUCUUGUUCUGGGCCCUACGCAACACCAACGGCCUCAUUAUGAAUUUCUUGAUCAAUGAGUAGGGGGAACACAUUCACAGAUAGUAACUGUUUAUUUUAUUUUAUUAUUAUUAUUAUUAUUUUUUUUUUGGUACCAGGGAUCAAACUCAGGUCCUUGCGCUUGCAAGGCAGGUGGUGGAACCACUGAGCUAAAUCCCUGGCCCUGUUUCUUUUAAAAUCCAAAGAGGCCCACCAAGCAUUAUGCCUCCUUUUUGUGGAACCCAAUGUCUUUUACUUUAGAAAAUAUAUCAUGACAAGAAGCAGACUGCUAAAUCUCUAGGACCUUUACUGAUGUGGCAAGCCUUUGAACUUUCAAUGACAUUUACAGUGAAUGACUAGAGUGAUGUUCUAUGGAGUAUCAAGAUAAGGUCUUUACAGGCUACCUUAAGACAGCAAGCAGUAACACUGACAUAGGCUGAGGUAAGCGAGUGAAGGUAUACUGUUGUCAAAUUGCUACUGAUCAUUGUUGAUGACAAGGAUAGAGAGAAAAAAAAAUUGAUAGACUAAUAUCUGCAUUGUUUUGUUCCACAAGGUGACCACAUACAGAAUUGGAGAUGAAUGGCAUGACUGAUUAUGGGUGUGAUAAUUGACAGCCAUGCUGCAAGACCACCUGGAUUUUGCAAGAGGCCAGCUAUGGCAUUCUGAGACCUAAUUCCAUUUUGGUCUCUGGUCACAACUGAGACGUCAAUGAUCCCGUGAUGCUGUGAUGCUCCAGGGCAAGACCACACCUGCGGAGACCCCAGGGAGGAACCAAAUCUUCAUCUGCAUAGUUCCUCAUUGUUCUUGGAUUUCCGCUGCCCCCCAGUCAUUUGUUACACCUUGUUUAUCCCAAUGUGAGGUACCGAACUCUCCGCAUUUCGUUUGUUACAUUUGUUUCUCCCGAGGUACUGAAUAAAAUGUGCUGCAAGCUAGGGCUCUUUGUCUUUGCUGCCCAGAGCAGCAGUGAUCAGGCCCGAAGCUCAGCUUCUCCAAGUCUCAUUUUUUCUACCUUUCCUGUAUAAUAAGUUAAUUUGCGUUGUGCUGCCUUGGCUCACAGGAGACUAGGACUUACUGCACAGGGUGACUGUAAGACCGAGGGCCUUACCAAACGCUCCGAGGAGCUGACUGCAGCGAAGAACACCCAGGAAGGAACACACCGGACAAGUUGGAAA